CCUUCAAGCUUAUGAAGAAUGAAUUUCGGCCAAGUGUGAAUACCUUAAAGAAGUGAUGUCUUACUCUGCAGAUAAGCAAAACGUGUGAAUUGAAGUUUCUCUAUUGCUAUGUUCCUGACAGCAUCACAGUAGAAAGGCAAAGAUAUCAGGAUACAAGGG